rnacentral:misc_RNA from 1 species
UCAUCAUCACCGAUAUCCGGCCCGAACGGAUCGAACUCGUCUGCAAGAAGAGCUAGAGCUUAGUAUGGAAACUAUGGUACUGGCCGGCUUGGACGCACCUGCCGCCAGGCUGCUGAACUCAUGCUCAAAGAAAUCCACACCAGCCGGAUAAUGCACACGCUGCGGCGCCGGCUGCUGUCCGACGACGCUUUCUCUGCCCGGCGCGGCAGUCAACGCGGCGGGCAACAAUAAAAGCGACUGCAACAGCAGCGCUAGCAGCGGCAACAAAGAUUUGGAGCGACGCCAUGCCCGCGUGGCCGCAAUCCAAGCCAGAAACCGUACCGAACCGAACCGCUGCGCGCAAAGACGUUAACUAAACUCGCCGCCAGCUAUCGCCGACAUUGAGGCCCGCGCGCGCGCGACUUGUAUUUAAUUUAUGCAAAAAGUGCGAAAAUAAAAACUAAAUAAUGUUGGCCAUCCGCCGUCAGGUGGAUCGGUAUAUCGGUAUCGCUUGAUACCGGGCUUUGCAGACUUUGCAAACCAAAUCCAACAUCAUCUAUCAGCUGUACGCGUCGCAGAGCUCCAGCGAUCGUCACCACCACCUGCUCACCUGUCCGACUGACUGGGCGACUCUUGUAAUUUAAUGCCGCAAUGGGAAAGAGCGAUGGGCAAGUGAACGGCCUACGUUUUGCCAUACACUUUAAAUCCGGAAAGUCGCCCAAUCAAAUUUGAAGAUCCCAUUUAAAUUAUAAAUAAUUAUUCAUCAAGUAUUCAGCUGAAUUCCACCAACUGAAUUACAUCAAUAUAAAGAAAAAUGCAUCAUUAAUUCACGACAAAUUUGCAAGUGCAUGAAUUAAAGCUUCAUGUUUGCAAAAUAGAUUGCAACACUUAGACGCCCAUAAAGGGUUCUAUUGAAAAAUACAAUCGUCAGCAAAAUUCAAUUUCUGUCACGGUCAUCAUGUUUAAAUUGAAAAGCGUGCUGUUGCCGAUUUAUUCACUGUGAAUCAUCAGCAAUUAAGGAAACAAAAAUAAAACAACAAAUUUUUAUCAUACUUUGAACCGGCGACUUUCCGCGUGCUGCUCCGACGCUCAGCUCCUUUCGUUAUGCGCAUCAAUUACCAAUCGGACACCUGCGUUGGCUUUCUGCUUGGCGGCAUUGGCGAAGUCAACGAGGAGCGUCAGUCGAACUUUAUGGUUGUCGAGAAAGACACCAGCGCCGCGGCCAUAGACGAGUGCUUCAAGCGCUUCGUGGCACGCGAGGAUAUCGCCAUCAUAAUGAUCAAUCAGAUAUAUGCGGACAUGAUACGCGCCACCAUCGACAAGCACCUGCUGCCUGUGCCCACUGUGCUGGAGAUACCCUCGAAGCAGCAGCCGUACGACGUUAACAAGGACUCCAUACUGAAGCGUGCGCAUCGAAACUUAAGAGGAACCAAAUCGUAUAGGCAAAAUAUUAAAAUUCAUUUAUUCUUUGAAAAAAGAGCUCUUUCCUCAAAAUUAUCCACGGAAGAUCACAGCGACAGCGAGCUGGUGAACAUAUUCAAGUUCCUGCAGCGGGCCGUCGAGACCUUUGGCCGCAAUCAUGGCCUGCAGCUGGCGCUGCCCAAGGAGACGGGCGCCCGGGUGCUGGACGAGGCGGGCAUUCGGACAAAUUCUUAUACACAAUUUUUGGUCGAAAGGAAUUAGGGCGAUAUGUAUAAAUGAAUAUUCUCGGAUUAAUUUAGCAACAUAUGUUGGUGCUUAUAUUAUUAAAUGCAUAAUCCAUCCAGUUGAACUAAAAUAUUGUGUGACAAGGAUUAAGGAAAAAAGGCAUAAGGACUCUGCUGCAGCAUCAACAACAACAACAACAACAGCAACAACAACUUCAUAUAAGUAAAGUCCCAUGAGUGCAUUUCAUGCUGCACGUUGAAUGAAUGAACAGCAAGUGCUAUAACUACAGAGACAGUUACAGAUACUUAGUUAUAGCUACUAACAAGGGAAAACAAGAGAACAAUAAGUGCGACACAUAGCUGGAGGCAAAGGGGCCACAUAAUCAGGGUCGAGACAUGAUAAUCGCCAUGAAUCGCACUGAAUUUGGAACAUUGCCGCAAUUCGAAAGCUCAGCGGAGAUAUUUAAAGCGAUUGCGAGAAACAGCAAUUUUGAUCUGAUUGGGGAACGCCGGCACUUGGCAAAUUUUCCCUCGCUACACACAGGCGAUGUCAGCAGCAGCAGCAGCAGCAGCAUCAGCAACAGCAUCAGCAACAACAUCAACAACAGCAGCAA